UAGAAUAUGUUUCACAAGGCUCUGGAUAGGCCUGUGAAGGCCCACCUUUUCCAUCUGCAGAGUGGGGAGAAAAAAAGACAAAUUGCUGCUUUUCUUCUUGGAGGAUUUAUAUCAAUAAGACGGAGAAGGCUCCGUCCUCAUGGCCUCUGAGGGGACCAACACACAGGUGGGAAGGUGACCAGUCUCUUCACGUGGCCUCGAACUCACCCCUCCCUCCUGAAUCUGCUGCAGAGGAUGGCUAUUUUUGUUUAGGCUAACCGAGUUUUGCAUGAAAUCCCUCGGGUUGAAGCUUUUGUGGAAAGCGGGAAAUUACAGAAGACACAAAGGCAUUCAUCUCCCACACCUACUAGUCAACAUUCCUGCCAAACUCCGGUUGUGAAUGGAGGCAGUUGAAAUCUAACAUGCAUCAAAAGGCAUUUCUGACUUGUAAAGGCUUUUUCAACAUUCAGACGAUUGAAGUUGAGAACACUCCCGAUAACAAAGGACAGCCCUGGAGUUUGAACUGGAUGCAUUCCAACUUCACAAGAUGUCCUCUCUUUGUUCCCUCUCCUACUUUAAAGUCUAUUUAGAUUUACAAUAAACAACAAUUGAUCAAA